rnacentral:rRNA from 1 species
UACGUAGGGUGCGAGCGUUAAUCGGAAUUACUGGGCGUAAAGCGUGCGCAGGCGGUUUGUUAAGUCUGGUGUGAAAGCCCCGGGCUCAACCUGGGAACUGCAUUGGAAACUGGCAAGCUCGAGUAUGGCAGAGGGGGGUGGAAUUCCGCGUGUAGCAGUGAAAUGCGUAGAGAUGCGGAGGAACACCGAUGGCGAAGGCAGCCCCCUGGGCCAAUACUGACGCUCAGGCACGAAAGCGUGGGGAGCAAACAGG